CUAAGCAGUUUCAACAUAUCAGAGCACCUGGCAAUUAAAUAUGACUUAAUCCACAGAAUACUUUUUCUGUAAUUUAGCAAAGAAGUCAGUUAAUUCAUUGACCUGACUCUCUUCGUUAAUUUUCUUUCUGUUACAUUUGCCAUUUUCUCUGGCAUUUUCUAAUGAUUACUGCUUCCGGGAAAAACAGACAAUUUAUGGAUUAAUUUAUAAGGAAACUUACAAAUUAGCAGAUCUCACAAAAAUGAUAUUCAAAGAAUUACAAAGGAACUCAGAAGAUCUUCGUGACAGGACAAAGUUGUCAAAUUGCUGCUCACAUCAUGAUAUUUGCAGGCGACCAAAAUUUAUGUAGAAGCUAUGACCAGUGUGAUAACCAGGGCAUGAUCAGGAAGAUAUUUGGAGAAGGAACUAAGCUCAUUGUAAUUCCCUCUGAUAAAGUGUUUGAUGAAGACAUUUCCCCCAAGCCCUCCAUGUUUCUUCCUUCAGUGAGUGAAACACACACUGAUAAGGCUGGAACGUAUCUGUGUCUCCUGGAGGAAUUUUUCCCUGAAAAUAUUAAGGUACAUUGGAAGGAAAGGGAUAAUGAUGGCGAUCUGGAAUCCCGGCAAAGUGAUACGGUGAAGGUUAACAGCACCUACAUGAAGUUUAGCUGGUUAACAGUGACUGGAGACUCAAUGUCGAAAGAGCACACGUUUAUUGUCAAACAUGAGAAUAAUAAAGGAAACGUUGAUCAGAAGAUUGUCUUCCCUCCAAUUAAGAAAGUCACUUCUGACCCAGAAGCUUGCCUAAAAUACGAAAAUGGUUUGCGGAAUCUGCAGCUCGCUAACACCUCUGCCUACUACAUCUACCUCCUGCUGUUGCUCAAGAGCGCCCUCCAUGGAGCCUUCAUCACCUUUCGUCUGUGCAGAUGGUCAGCUCUUUGCGUGGACAGGAAAAGCUUCUGACAGGUGGAGGCGUGCAGGGCCAUGGUGUCUCCACUGUUUCCUGUCUCCAGCAGCGUCUGGCUCUGGCUCUGAAAGACCACGUGCACAUUGUUCUGUGAUUAUCACAUAAAGGUUUCCCAACCUGACUGUUUUCCAGCAAGGCUUAGCUCACAGCACGCCGAGUCCCCUUCCCUCUACGGUCCCACAGCCCCUCCGGCUGGCCCAGGUUCUCACAACCUCACUGUGCACAGCUCACCACUUCUGGUCAGGUGCGCAGUGCCCUUGAACCAGGUCACCUCUAGAAACUUCCAUCCUAUUCACUCUGACACAGCCUUCUUGGCUAUUGAAUGCAUGCUUUGUUUUCCAUAGUAGACAGGGUAAAUAAAAGCUAUCAAAAUA